GUGGGACCUGAGACUGGUGCCUCCCUGCUGAAUGCCCUGAAGACACCCUCAGGGAAGGGGUGCUGCUUGGAUUCCCUUCAGGGUUAUUGCCCCACCUGCCCCGGACAGCCCAACCCAUGUCCUCAAGUCAUGGCAUGGCCAGAGGGCAGUAAAAUUCAAACCCUCUUGGCAGGCAGGUGAUCCUCACGAAGUCAGCCAGGCCUGACUCAGAGCCUCAGCCUGCCAGCCCCCGAACCAGCUGUCCCCUGGGCCACCACACAGAAAUCACACAGUGGGGGAUGGCAUCAGGCUGCAGGAAAGCAUGUCCCUGGCCCUAGGGCCAAGGAGAGGAAUGCAAUAUCAGCCUGGCACCAACUGGCCUAAAAGAACAGCUGACUCUCUGCAGGGAAAGCUGAGAUGAAGUCCCAAGUUCAAGACUGGCUGGUAGCCUCAGGACAGGGAUUGCUGAUGAUCUGAACCACUGCCAAGGAGAGAGCUGGAUGGACCCUCUGAGGCCAAGCCUCUAAUCCGACCCUCCACCUGACUGUGUGUUGACCUUCACUUGGUUCCUGUCCUUCUUCAGGACCCGGCUUCCCCGGCUGGGGUGAAUAUGAAGGUAUUAAGAGAGCAAAUUUUGUGGUCUUCACUUAAAAUUUGGGGAUGCUGUUCUUUCAGCCUCUAAUGGAAAGGUGACUACGAAGGGAACAAAUCUGGGCCCCCGUGGCAUCUGUCCCCUCCUGUUCCUCCAGCUGGCCUCCUCGCCACGUGCACACCGUGCUGGGAAGCGAGCCCCGGCUGCCUGCGGCUCCCUCCCGGGCCCACUCGCGCUCCCCGGAGGGGCUCGGGGGAGGCUGCAGGAGCAGGAAGGAACCAGAGGCCCGCGGGGGGCGGAGAGAUGGAUCCCGCGCGCGCCCCUGAACUCCUCGUCAAAGUUCUCCUGCAGGGUUGGCAGCCCCUUCUCGAAAGCUGCUCCAUAGCGGAGGUGGCAUAUGGACUGUUGACAGAGCAGCUGUCGGGGAAGAAGACGCUGAAAGGAAGCCUCGAGGGAUAAACAGAGAAAUCCGUGGCACUACGUGGGGCCCGCGCGCGCGGCUCGCUCACUCUUUUCCGUGCCCUUCCCCGCGAGCCCAGUGGUUCGGGCUGCCGGGCUCUUCUGCUCUCAGAUAUGAUCCCGAUGACGACCCUCAUCGUGACAUUGUUGAGCACUUACUACGUGCCAGCCAGUUCUGGUAACGACUUUAGGUGGAUCAGUCACCCCAGUUGGGAAUCUGGCCCUUGCAGACAUGAAGACAGAAACCAAGAGCCCAUUUAUCACAUUGAAAGCUGAUACCUGACAGAGAUUCAAUCUCAUCUUGAGGCUGGAAACUUGGAGAUAAAUGGAGGGGACUAAUUUUCUCAAACUCCAGAGGGAACAGUUCCCAAGUGUCAACGGCAACAUCAUAAACCACACAAAUGGCACACUACAUAGCUCCCCGUCAGGGUGUGCCAACUCAUGGCUUGGCUGUUGGCAGGAGGACAAGAACAGAGGCUUGCCACACCCGCAUUGCAAACAUUUUUAAAGGUCCACUGAAACCACAGGUACUUCUCCCCCUGAGGGGCAUGGGGGUACCCUGAAUGGAUCCUUGCUGAUAGAGAGAAAGGAACCAGGUUCCUGGGCCCUUUUUGGUUGACCUCCUUCCUACCUCUCCAGCCUCUUCCCACAUCCUCUCUCCUUGACUUCAUCUGAUACCCUUUCACCUCGGCGGAUUUUCGUAUGCUAUGCCUGGAGUGCGCAUCCUUCUUCAUUCACCAAGGUUUUUACUAUACUUAGAAGCCCAGCUCAAGCCCCAUGUUUUGGACUCCUCCUGGCAGAACUGGUUACUUUAUGCUCAAGAUUUCCACAGCACUGCAUCCAGAUCGGACCUGGGGGAUUUGUGCCGGAGAGUACCCCAGCUCUGCACCUAGGGUUUCUAGAAAUCAUUAGCAUCCGUUGCAGUCACCCCAGCAAAUCACUGCAGGUGCAGGAACUCAACAUCUCAGCUAUGCCGAGCAGCUUGGAGACAGAGACCCGCGCACGACUGCCGACACCUUCAGCUCCCAGAACCACUGCUCUGGGCAGGUCUCUCCCGUACCUACUCCCUCAGGCAUUCGGACGCCCUGACAAAAUGCGGCCAGGGACCACAUAGCUGUUGUGUAGUUUCAAUUCAAUAUGACCUGAUUUAAAAGAUAUGCCUUGUAUGCCAGGCCCUGGGCAGAGGAGGGGAGAAGGAGCUUCCUAGGCUGCGCCGUCCGAGGGACUCACGGACAUGACCAUGUUCAUACCCGUGACGUUGAAGCCCACAGAGGCAAGGACUCUGACUGUCAUCCAUCUCUCCCAUGGGACUGACUUCCUGAGGUUCCCAGACCUCCUUCUCCAGUGCUGACCACCGCUCUGGGCUUCAGCCAGCUUCUCCCCUCAAUCUGCUAGGCGUCUCCUCCUUGGCUGCUCCACGGCCCCUCAAACUCAGUGUGUCCCUAAGAAAACCCAUUUUCUUACUUCCUAAACCUGGCUUCUUCUUCCUAGUUUCCCUCCUCCCUCAUUGAGGCAUCACUCACCCCCAAUCGUUCAAAGCCAUACCUGAGGGUCAACUUUACCCUUGCCAUGUUCUUCCUUUCGGUCCUUCACUAAUAUCACCUCUGCCAUUACCCUUGGAAACCCUUAGUCUGUUGGGAGCCUCCUGGCUGGCUCCCUGCCAACUCUUACCCAACCCUCAAGACCUAGGAAAGUGCCUCUGCGUCUAGAAGUAUCCCUGAGUCCUUCAGUUGCACGUCAUUGACCUCUUCUGCCUGUUGACUACUGCCACUCUUUAUCUGAAUCUCUUUCAGGGCCUCUGGAUGCUUUCUACCUCGUCUCAUUCAUUCGUCUCCCUGACUCCUGGUCCCGAGCAUGCCGUCUUGGUGCUGCUGAAUGAACGGAUGGAUGCCGCGUUAAUGAGGGGGCGGCAUAGAUAAGAAAGGAGAAGCCCAGAGAGGCUAGGUAACUUGUCCAAGGCCGCAUACCAUCAGAGGCAGAGGCCAGAUCUGAGUCAGCAGCCUGACGUCAGCAUCUUCAUUCGGGGUUUCUUUGGGAUGGCGUGCCCAAAGCUCGUGAUUAGAAACAGCUGCAGAAACAAGAGGAAAACAUCUUCUAAAAAUAAGUAGCACCUUGGAACACAGUGUGCCAGGACUUGUAGGACGUGGAUGGGGAUGUGCGAUCUGGAGAGGCCACAAGGAGGGCACUGGUUCUUACACACAAGGUGACUGUUUCUCUUGUCCGCCGCUCCCGGGAGCCCCCACGAACUGGAUCUUGAGACAGGGGCCAGAAAAGCUGGACUCCUCCUUCCACUCGGGAAUGCGAAGACUUCCUUCAGGACUUCGGACGGCUUUUAAGGUAGAGCCAAAUUAGCCCACGGAGAUCAUGUUAGUCAAUUAUAUGGUUGGUUCAGAAUUAUUUAAUGAUACAGGAAAAUGCUCACCAGGAAAAAAAAAAUUAGGUCAUGGAAUAAUAUGGUGCAAAAGGGUCUAAUCAAGAAUUUAAAAUUUUAUACAGCCACACACACAUUUGGCAAAAAAGACUGAAAGAGAAGGCACCUAAGUGUAGCAGGAGUUAUUUCUGGAUGAUGAGAGAUCAAAGUUGAAAUAUAUUUAUUUUUUAAAUUCCUUUCUGUCAUUUUUAAUUUUUGUAAAAUAAACAUACACUAUUUUCAUAAUCAGAAAAAAAUGUUUAAGAUAGAAGUAGAGGUUGGUUUUUCCUGAAUUGAUUUAAUUUUAAGGUUUUUGCUCAUUUUCAAAUUAUAGCUUUGUUGGGAGACAAAAUUAAAUAAGCUACAGAAAUUUUGCCAAAAAUAACAAAUCACUAUUAAUGUUAUAAAUUGUAUAAUAAGUUAUCAGAUUCAAAUUGAAAGCCAGCAUAACAGGUUAUUCAUAUAAUACUCCACUUUAAAUGUUUCCAUUUAUUUUGAAUUGCUUAGCCUGCUUCAUAGGGUUCAGAUAACAUAGAAGCUAUUUCAUUUUGUCGUUGUUGGGGUUUUGGUUUGGUUUGGUUUACCUAAAAAAUUGUACAAACAAACAAAUCCAACCCUCCACAGAGAAAAUUAAAAAGCAAACCAGAUGACCAAACACAGGCAGGUACUUUUGACAGAAAGUUAAGAAUCACAUUUUCUAAAGUGUUAUUUACAAGAAAAUAAUCAAGUUCUUACUACAGGCAAGUGAACAAAGGCCAUAAGUGUAUUUUGCUCAAUAAAAAUAUAACGAAUGAAAUAACAAAUGGAUGCUAACCCUGACUAGCGAGCGAAGCAGUCACAAUACACACAACUGUGAGAAGCCCCAAAUUCUGACAAGAAUAGUUGGGAAGCUGGUCAACUUCUGACGGCCUUCCUGGAAUCUCCCUAGAGAUACCCAUCGAGAGACAUCUCUACCACUGAGACCCUUUCUUUUAGUUGUCUCCACUGGCAAAGUCGGCUGUGCAGAUAACUCAACAGAAGCGAAAGCUAAAGGAAGACAAAAACGAAUUCCAGUAUUUUCUCUGAGUGUAAGGAAAAAAGAUCUGAAAAAACCCAAUGCUCGACCUAAUAGGAAUGGAAGGAAAUUUUGGCACUCCAACUUAAUGGAAUACAAGGUAAUGAUUAUAAUCACAAUUAUGAGGACCACAUCAAACUGUGAGAUAGAUUUAUUAUAAAAUACCAAAUGUAGAAGAAUAUGCAAUCUUAUCUCUGCUCUACUGCCGUGAUUUCAGUGUAAAAUCAUGUGCCUGUGACCGGGGAUGGAAAGGAAGAGAGAAUGAAAGCAGUUGCAUCUUGGUGAGGUCAUAAAUGACCUUCCUCCUUGCUUAAACAUUUAAAAAAUAUAUAUUGUUUUGAAUGUGUGUUUUAUUUUUAUUUUAUUUCUUUUUUAAUUAAAGAUUUUAUUUGUUUAUUUGACACAGAAAGAGAGAGAGAGAGAGAGAGUGAGCAUGAGCAGGGGCAGAGGGCAGAGGGAGAAGCAGGAUCCCUGCUGAGCAGGGAUCCUGAUGCAGGGCUCGAUCCCAGGACCCUGAGAUCGUGACUUGAGCAGAAAGGCAGUCGCUUAACCAACUGGGCCACCCAGAUGCCCCUGAAUGCGUGUUUUAGUGAAAAGAAAGAAGAUUUAUAUUUCUCCUCAUCUCCAUAAAUAAAGGAAAGUCUUCUAAAUGUGA